AUUGAACGCUGGCGGCAUGCUUUACACAUGCAAGUCGAACGGUAACAGGGUGCUUGCACCGCUGACGAGUGGCGAACGGGUGAGUAAUGCGUCGGAACGUGCCGAGUAGUGGGGGAUAACGCAGCGAAAGUUGUGCUAAUACCGCAUACGUACUGAGGUAGAAAGUGGGGGACCUUCGGGCCUCACGCUAGUCGAGCGACCGACGUCUGAUUAGCUAGUAGGUGAGGUAAAGGCUCACCUAGCCGACGAUCAGUAGCGGGUUUGAGAGAAUGAGCGGCCACACUGGGACUGAGACACGGCCCAGACUCCUACGGGAGGCAGCAGUGGGGAAUAGUGGACAAUGGGGGGAACCCUGAUCCAGCCAUGCCGCGUGUGUGAAGAAGGCCUUAUGGUUGUAAAGCACUUUAAGCGAGGAGGAGGCUACUCUAGUUAAUACCUAGGGAUAGUGGACGUUACUCGCAGAAUAAGCACCGGCUAACUCUGUGCCAGCCGCCGCCGUAA
rnacentral:rRNA from 1 species